rnacentral:rRNA from 1 species
UACGUAGGCAGCGAGCGUUGUUCGGAGUUACUGGGCGUAAAGAGUGCGUAGGCGGUUGUCCAAGUCUGGUGUGAAAUCUCCUGGCUUAACUGGGAGGGUGCGCUAGAAACUAGGCAACUUGAGUACGGGAGAGGUAAGCGGAAUUCCUGGUGUAGCGGUGAAAUGCGUAGAUAUCAGGAGGAACACCGGUGGUGUAGACGGCUUACUGGACCGUAACUGACGCUGAGGCACGAAAGCGUGGGGAGCAAACAGG